AUGAAGGAAAAGGAACUUGACCCUGGAGAUGCAAAGCAGAACAUUGAAGAAAGAGCCAAAAAUUGGUGCUUACAUCUUGGUGCUACAUGGCAGUUGCCUAUGUGUACAUCUCCAAAUCCAGGGAACUGGGACAGCUCGUUUGUGAGUGAGGGAGAGGAAAAUGACCUCACAUGUCCUGUAAAGAAAAGCGUUCAGGUGAGCAAUUAUCAGACAAUAGCUGAUGCUCUGGAAUUUCCUCUGACAAUGGCAAUUUGUUCUCUUGCAUGUUCUCACGGCAUUAAAAGAGAAGUUGGGAGGACCAGGUACUCCGGCCUACUGAGAGUGACAGCGUGGUGGUUCAGGAGUGCGUUGCCUUUAGAUUACAAAAGUAACUUUUGCCAUUCCAGACUGCCCCAUCCUGCUCAGGUCAACCACAAACAUCCUCCGGAGGAUGAACAUACUCUGGGACAUAAAAAUGAGAUUGUAACUCCUGGAGACACCCAGUGUUGGCACCAGGGUCUUGGCUAGGUACAGAGUGACUGAGUGACUGCUCAUCACUCUCCUAUACCUAGACAUGGCAUUCAGUUGUUGUCUUAGACCAUGACGCAGUGCUUCACCCCAGAACUGUCUGCAUCCCUCACUUUUUAUAAAUGAAAAAACGUUAGGAAGAAAAAAAUCUCCCUUUAAAAUGAUUUAAUCCAUUGGAAUAUCCUCAGACUGAUUCACAUAUAGGCUCAGAAACGGAUCAUUAAAUGAUCUCAUUCUUUAGCCUGUUUCAAGGAGCUAAUAACUCCUUUAAAGUUCAUAAUAUAAUACCCUUAUAAUGAAUAUUACUCUGUGUGGGCUAUUUUUAUGUGAUAAUAACAACCUGAAGGGAAAGUUCAUCAUGGUGGAAAUAUAUAAUGUAGCUAAGAGAAAGAAAGCUCUCACUCUCUCCAGUGAGAACUGCAGAAAGGAUGAAGCAGAGAAGUAUUAUCAUACAGCAUUUACUGAAAACAUGUUGACUGUUUGUUUGAAACGAGGGGAAUGGCCAGCCAGCUGGCAGCCUUCUGAAAGCCUGCGUGUCUCUUCUGAGCAGAUGGUGCAAAGCAGAACCUGAACACAAAGACUUCUUGGUUUGUCUUAGGUGCUCAGAAAUUUGCUUCAAGGCACAAAUGUGGACUGCUCUACGACCACUGCCACUGCUGUCAGAGAAAUAGUUAGGGUAGGAAGCAUUUUAACAUGGGGAAGAGAGCAUUUCGUACAAAGCAUUUGUUUUCCUAUUGAAAUAAACCUGGUUCUGUGAUCUCUGUGCCCCA
rnacentral:lncRNA from 1 species